rnacentral:rRNA from 1 species
GCUUAACACAUGCAAGUCGAGGGGCAGCAUGGUCUUAGCUUGCUAAGGCCGAUGGCGACCGGCGCACGGGUGAGUAACACGUAUCCAACCUGCCGUCUACUCUUGGACAGCCUUCUGAAAGGAAGAUUAAUACAAGAUGGCAUCAUGAGUCCGCAUGUUCACAUGAUUAAAGGUAUUCCGGUAGACGAUGGGGAUGCGUUCCAUUAGAUAGUAGGCGGGGUAACGGCCCACCUAGUCUUCGAUGGAUAGGGGUUCUGAGAGGAAGGUCCCCCACAUUGGAACUGAGACACGGUCCAAACUCCUACGGGAGGCAGCAGUGAGGAAUAUUGGUCAAUGGGCGAGAGCCUGAACCAGCCAAGUAGCGUGAAGGAUGACUGCCCUAUGGGUUGUAAACUUCUUUUAUAAAGGAAUAAAGUCGGGUAUGGAUACCCGUUUGCAUGUACUUUAUGAAUAAGGAUCGGCUAACUCCGUGCCAGCAGCCGCGGUAAUACGGAGGAUCCGAGCGUUAUCCGGAUUUAUUGGGUUUAAAGGGAGCGUAGAUGGAUGUUUAAGUCAGUUGUGAAAGUUUGCGGCUCAACCGUAAAAUUGCAGUUGAUACUGGAUAUCUUGAGUGCAGUUGAGGCAGGCGGAAUUCGUGGUGUAGCGGUGAAAUGCUUAGAUAUCACGAAGAACUCCGAUUGCGAAGGCAGCCUGCUAAGCUGCAACUGACAUUGAGGCUCGAAAGUGUGGGUAUCAAACAGGAUUAGAUACCCUGGUAGUCCACACGGUAAACGAUGGAUACUCGCUGUUUGCGAUAUACUGCAAGCGGCCAAGCGAAAGCGUUAAGUAUUCCACCUGGGGAGUACGCCGGCAACGGUGAAACUCAAAGGAAUUGACGGGGGCCCGCACAAGCGGAGGAACAUGUGGUUUAAUUCGAUGAUACGCGAGGAACCUUACCCGGGCUUAAAUUGCAGAUGAAUUACGGUGAAAGCCGUAAGCCGCAAGGCAUCUGUGAAGGUGCUGCAUGGUUGUCGUCAGCUCGUGCCGUGAGGUGUCGGCUUAAGUGCCAUAACGAGCGCAACCCUUGUUGUCAGUUACUAACAGGUUCCGCUGAGGACUCUGACAAGACUGCCAUCGUAAGAUGUGAGGAAGGUGGGGAUGACGUCAAAUCAGCACGGCCCUUACGUCCGGGGCUACAUACGUGUUACAAUGGGGGGUACAGAGGGCCGCUACCACGCGAGUGGAUGCCAAUCCCCAAAACCUCUCUCAGUUCGGACUGGAGUCUGCAACCCGACUCCACGAAGCUGGAUUCGCUAGUAAUCGCGCAUCAGCCACGGCGCGGUGAAUACGUUCCCGGGCCUUGUACACACCGCCCGUCAAGCCAUGGGAGCCGGGGGUACCUGAAGUGCGUAACCGCGAGGAGCGCCCUAGGGUAAAACUGGUGACUGGGGCUAAGUC